GGGCAGAUGUUGUCUUACCUCUUCACAUACCUCUUCAACCUCUUCCAAAUACAAAACUCUCAAAACCCUAGUUUCCUUCUCCAUUCCUCAGGCGACCUCCCCUACUCCUCCACCUCCAGCCGCCGCCACGCCGAGCACCACCGUCUCCAGCCGCCCCCACGCCGCCCUCCACCCUCUCCAGCAGUCGUUCCACCACUCCACCGAUCUCCACCCCAUCCAGCCGAUCUGAACCCUUCCACAGCCGCAGCCCCCUCAUUCUCCACCCCCUCCACCGAUCUCCACCCCAUCCAGCCGAUCUGAACCUCUCCAGCAGUUGUGCUCCACCCCCUCCAUAUGCGCAGCCCUCGAUCUCCACCCCCUCCACCGCUGCAGACCUUGUAUCUCCACUCCUCCAACAUCUAAGGGUCAUGAUGCUGGGCAUAUGGUUCCUAUGGGUCAACCAAAGGUAGCUCCAAGCAUGUUAAAGAGGUGGACAAGGGGAUCACUUUCUCAAAGUGGAGCUGAGGCCGAAUCUGUUGUUUCUUCCAUGUGAUGUCUAUAGCGAGAUUGGUGGUGCGUCUAAGUUCUAAAGACUUUUAACCAAGUUGAACAAUAACAACAUCACUGGCUAACAUAUUGGAUGGUUUCAUCUGCGGAAUGCAAAGCACGGAUUCAAUGAUUUAAAAAAAUGUUAUUGUCUUUUUAUGAAUAUUAUUUCAGUAUUGUAUAACUAUUAUUUAUGUUUGAAUGUUAAAAAACUCUUUUAAGUUAAAUAAAAUCAGUUUAUUUAUAUUUCAA